AGCGAUCUUGGAUGUCGAGGCGGUCCACCAAACCCACAGUACUCCUCCUAGCAGCCUUAGUUUAUCCGGCAUCCUCCGAUCGAGAUUCGAGAGUAUCCAUUGAUCCAUGGAAAUGCGAUUUGGUCGGGGGCGUGGGCAGAAGACGAUGCCGAGCCGCAGUCCAGCAGCGCGCUUUGUAUCCGGGCUUGGGCCCACCUGGAUAUCCUCGUGGGCUGCGACCCACCUGAACUGGGCCUCCUCACAGGUUUUUUUUUUCCCCUCAAAACGAAGAAAACCUGGACCGGUUAUUCAGCGCCGGCGCCGCCGUCUCCAUCGAAGGUCAGCCAUCGCCUUCGGCCCUUCCCUGUUUGUCCCUCUCGGAAGCCUCUGUGCGGCGCACCGUGCUGAACAACGACCGGCAGGCGCUCAUCCUGUCCUCUGGACUCCGUCCGGCGCUCGGGUUCGACCAAGACGACGGCGAUCUGGUGGCGCUCGAAGGCACGCCUCGCGGGUGCACCGGAUCGGUCGCGCUACCCGCUGUUGGGUCUCCUGGAUCGGGCAAGCAAUCCAAGCUUUCGUAAUCCAAUUCCAAGCACUGUCUGUUCUAACACUGUUCAGCUUACUCAAGUUCUCCAAAUCUCUUUCUUCAGUUGGGGAAAGGGCUGUAUUUUCAUAUGCUUUGUAGUGUUAGGCUGCUAGCCAAUUGGAGGAACACACUUGGUGAACAAAUUUCUGUAGUUCGUUUAGGCAAGGAAAAAUACUGCUGCUUUUGCCUUUUCAUUCUUCAUAUAACUUUUAUUAAGGGAGUGCCGGUUCAGAGUUGAAUCAAAAUGGAACUGCUCGUUUAAGUAUUAGCUAAGGUUUGGUUUUACUGUCCACUGUCAACCUCAUUUCUGAAGGAAUUAGGAAGUUUGUGUUGAUAUCCACGUAUUUGUAGAAAACUGCUGUCCCAGCUUGUCCAUGAUGUGUCUAUCUGCCCUGCAGUGCCGGGAUAUCGUCUCCCUCCAAAUGAAAAUCCAAGAAAUUGUGGAUGUCACACCAAAUCCCAGCUACCACCUAUCCCUCUGCCGAGAUCGGAUCAUGUUCCUCAAAUGCAGAGCUAUGCCUCCAUUAUCAGAGCUUGCAAAACCCAAUAAAAUACUUGCUCGCAUACAGAUUGAUUCCCUGCUAAAUUUUGCUAUUCAGAUGUUUAUGGUUAAGUCAUAAAUUUGAUGGCAUGUUCUUUUGCAGAGCAAGCUAAUAGUAUUAGCCUUUGAUCACUUUGCCUACAGAAGUUCAGAAAUGGUGCAAAAUGAUAUUGAUGGGUUUCCAUGUGCACAUGGAAGAGUACCGCUUCAUCCACUGCUCUUAGUUUUCCAUAUCAUUCUUGGUACUUGUAAGAAGAAACUGAGUCAGUACCCAUACUUGUCCAGGCUGAUAGACACCGUUGAUAUAUCUGUAUCAGUUGUCUGCUUCUCAAGAGGAUACCUUCUGUGAAGUUCCUUUCUUGAAUGUCACGAUAUUAUAUGCAAAAUGUUAUAUCAUCAAGCUCUGCUAAUGCACAAAUGUAAGGCCUGAAGACACCAACACUGUAAAUAGCCAAGUAUGAUGAAGCAUAUCGAGGGAGAAAGCCAAAUGGUGGUCUGAAUUCAACACAACGUCAGACGCAUCUCUGCGUCGUAGUCUUGCGAGACUUGUGCAGGCCACAAGCCUCUCCAUCUGUUCUGUCCAUAUAAGCAACACCCAUGCCAUUCCGUGGCAAGCUAAAGGAGAGGUGAUGAGAAGAUAGGAAACGAAGCAGCAAGGCCAGAUCGACAGAGAAAGCAACCGGUGAUCAAUAGGGGCUAGAAUGAUCAGAAAGCUCCAGGGGCACCCGAAUUUUCGCCCCCGAGAUGUCGCGUUUUCGCCUCAAUUUGUUGUCUGAACCUUUGGUGGUUCAGACCAACACUGCCAAAAUAAAAUGGUUCAUCAUUUGGUCGAUUAUAUGGUCCCUAUACUGUGGUAUGAAAUUGUUUUACUUAAUCAGUGACUCAUAGGCUCGUAGCGAGUAGUUGCAUGUUGCCUUCACUGGCUCUGUAUUAAUUACUAUAUAUCAUUAGCCUUAGACUGAAACAUUUCGACUUGUUGCUGUCACCCAAUCUAUUUGGUACUAUUAACUGAUAUAUACUCAUCUGUGGCAUUUCCUGAAA